rnacentral:rRNA from 1 species
GGUCUCCGUUGGUGAACCAGCGGAGGGAUCAUUACCGAGUUUACAACUCCCAAACCCAAUGUGAACGUUACCAAACUGUUGCCUCGGCGGGAUCUCUGCCCCGGGUGCGUCGCAGCCCCGGACCAAGGCGCCCGCCGGAGGACCAACCAAAACUCUUAUUGUAUACCCCCUCGCGGGUUUUUUUUAUAAUCUGAGCCUUCUCGGCGCCUCUCGUAGGCGUUUCGAAAAUGAAUCAAAACUUUCAACAACGGAUCUCUUGGUUCUGGCAUCGAUGAAGAACGCAGCGAAAUGCGAUAAGUAAUGUGAAUUGCAGAAUUCAGUGAAUCAUCGAAUCUUUGAACGCACAUUGCGCCCGCCAGUAUUCUGGCGGGCAUGCCUGUCCGAGCGUCAUUUCAACCCUCGAACCCCUCCGGGGGGUCGGCGUUGGGGAUCGGCCCUGCCUUGGCGGUGGCCGUCUCCGAAAUACAGUGGCGGUCUCGCCGCAGCCUCUCCUGCGCAGUAGUUUGCACACUCGCAUCGGGAGCGCGGCGCGUCCACAGCCGUUAAACACCCAACUUCUGAAAUGUUGACCUCGGAUCAGGUAGGAAUACCCGCUGAACUUAAGCAUAUC